rnacentral:rRNA from 1 species
GACGAACCGUGCGAACGUUAUUCGGAAUCACUGGGCGUAAAGGGCGCGUAGGCGGCCGGAGGAGUCUGUGGUGAAAGCUCAGGGCUCAACCCUGAGUCGGCCACGGAUACUCUUCGGCUCGAGCACUGUAGAGGCAGAUGGAAUUCCGGGUGUAGCGGUGGAAUGCGUAGAGAUCCGGAAGAACACCGGUGGCGAAGGCGGUCUGCUGGGCAGUGGCUGACGCUGAGGCGCGACAGCGUGGGGAGCAAACAGG